rnacentral:rRNA from 1 species
UACAGAGGUGGCAAGCGUUGUUCGGAAUUACUGGGCGUAAAGGGCGCGUAGGCGGUCUUAUAAGUCCUGUGUGAAAUCCCUCGGCUUAACUGAGGAACUGCACGGGAUACUGCGAGACUUGAGAUCGGGAGAGGGAAGCGGAAUCCGGUGUAGCGGUGAAAUGCGUAGAUAUCUGGAGGAACACCGGUGGCGAAGGCGGCAUCCUGGACCGACACUGACACUGAGGAGCGAAAGCCAGGGGAGCAAACGGG